rnacentral:rRNA from 1 species
CGGGGGGGCGAAGCGUUGUUCGGAAUUACUGGGCGUAAAGGGCUCGUAGGCGGCCAACUAAGUCCGACGUGAAAUCCCCAGGCUCAACCUGGGAACUGCGUCGGAUACUGGAUGGCUUGAAUUCGGGAGAGGGAUGCAGAAUUCCAGGUGUAGCGGUGAAAUGCGUAGAUAUCUGGAGGAAUACCGGUGGCGAAGGCGGCAUCCUGGACCGACAUUGACGCUGAGGAGCGAAAGCUAGGGGAGCAAACGGGAUUAGAUACCCCGGUAGUCCUAGCCCUAAACGAUGGAUGCUUGGUGUGACGGGUAUCGAUCCCUGUCGUGCCGAAGCUAACGCAUUAAGCAUUCCGCCUGGGGAGUACGGUCGCAAGGCUG